rnacentral:misc_RNA from 1 species
UUGGUCAAGUUUCAAUUUCUUCGUCUUAAAAUGCAUUAUUUAAUGACUAAAUCGAUAAAUCUAAUUAUCAUCUAUACAGGGAUACAUUGAUUUCAUUUUGGUCUAUUAAAAUGAAAUAAUGAUUAUAUACUAAUGAAUAUAAUUGUGGGUACUUACACUUUAAUAUGUGCCUCAUAAUAAUUAUAUUUUAGUAUUUUUAUUAAAAUAGUUUAUAAUGAAUACAUCAAUUAUCCAAUAAAUAUUCAAUUAUUGUAUGAUCUCAAUUAUGCAUCCCAUUUUUUGGUUGCAACUUGUACACAAUAUAAUUAAUAACCAAUUUAUAUAAGUAAUUGUAUUAUGGUGUGAAUAAUUUUUUUGGCUAAGAAUGAGGGAAUGAGGAAUUUACUAGAUUUUCAAAGAAAGGGUUUACUUUUUUCUCAGGUGAAAAAAUAACACUGAAUCAUAUGGAUGUAUAAUUUAAAAAAUUUCUCAAAAAAUAAUCAAUUUUAUUAUUAUUUUUCUCGAGGUUAAAUAAAUCCGGAACACACCAUCUCAAUCCAAGUGGGCAAAACAAAAUUGAAAUUUUGACUCUCUGCAACAUCUUUAAAAUGUUUAUUAUUAUUUUAACAGAAAAGUACGUAUAGUGAACAUCUUAGCUACUUAUUCCUUGCCGCCAAUGAUAUAAUAUUUCACUAAUGGUUUAAUUUCCUUUUUGGAAUCUCAUUCGAAAACUUAUUUGAGCCAUCUUCACUAUGUGUUAUUUAGUUUACAGCUGGAAACAAAUGUUUGAAACAUAUUAUAUAAUAAGUUGCCUUAUUCUAUCAACUAUAUUUUGAGUUAUUGUCUCAUUCGAUCUAUAUUAUUGUACCUUGAUUCCAUAUAUGUAGAAAAAUUAGAAUAAAACAUUGAUCUUCGUUUAUUCACAAUAACCAUUGGGUAUUUGUUUUCGUGGAAAAAAAUUUACUUUUUAUUUUUUUUAUCCUUCAGAUGUCUCUAAGUGGUAAAGUAUGUGUCGUUACAGGAGCUUCUCGUGGAAUAGGGAGAGGAAUUGCAGUUCAAGUCGGAGGAGCUGGAGCAACCGUUUACAUAACAGGUCGUUCUAAUUCUGAUUUGCAAAAGACGGCUGAUGAAAUCAAAUCUAGAGGAGGGAAUCCAAUUAUGAUUCAAAUGGAUCAUAGUAAUGAUGAAGAAAUAUUGGGACUCUUCAAUAGAAUUCGUCAUGAGCAAAAAGGAAAAUUAGAUUUAUUGGUUAAUAAUGCUUUUGGGGGUGUCAAGAUGAUAAUUGAAAAUUUUGGUAAGAACUUCUGGGAGGCAUUAUCACCAGUUCAAAUGUGGGAUAAGAUAAAUGGUGUAGGACUAAGGGAUCAUUAUAUUUGUACAAGUUAUGCUUCAAGAAUUAUGCAAUCAAAUAGAUCAGGUCUUAUAGUAAACGUGAGUUCUGGUGGAGGUAUAAAGUAUGUAUUGAAUGUUCCUUAUGGUGUCGGAAAGGCUGCUAGCGAUAGAAUGGUAGCUGAUUGUGCACAUGAGCUGAAAAAGUGUAAUGUUGCUAUGGUUUCUCUUUGGCCUGGGGCUGUUAAAACCGAAGAGAUGACUAAAUAUGUUAUUGUACUGAAUCUAUUGUAAGAAGUGUUGGAUCGGUCCUAGUAAUGAUUUCCUAUUCAGUCUUAUUUUUAUUGGUCCCAUCUUUUAUACCAUUCAACGGUCCUUAAGACCGAUUAGUCGGUCCUUCGCUCCUAGGAUCGACUGAACAAUUUUAUUAGGACGGGACUAAUAGGACUACAGUCGUAUUAGUUUUUUUAGACCGAUCCAAAACUAAUUGUAUUUGUUUUUACGGUUUUACGCGUCAUGAUGAUUAAUAUUUAUAAUCCUGGAGCUUCAGCAGGACUCAAAUCAAUGUAUGCUAACGGCUAUGAAUCCCCCGAAUUCUCAGGAAUGGCUGUAGUAAAGUUGGCUGCAGAUCCAAAUAUUAUGAAAAA